AAGCUGCUUCCUACUCCCAGUGCUGAGCGGGCCCCAGCUACUGAGCAUGCCCAGCGCAGCGAUGGGAUCCAGAGGAAAGGAGAGGACUUUAAGCUGCGGUUAAGCACUGAUUUCACUUCCCCGGGGCCUAGCGUGAAAUGGAAGAGAACUAGUCAAGAGAAAGGAGGUGGUAAACUACCCAAAGACAGCACAGAAGAGGAAAUGCAUGCUUCUAGACAGGGCAGACAAGGAACCCUAAGAAGAAAAGAUUAGGACAGAGACACACAGAGGAAGACCAUGUGAAGAUACAGGGAAAAGAUGGCUGUCUGCAAGCUGAGAGAAGCCUGAGAAGAAACAAAUCCUGCGAAUACUUCCAUCUCAGAUUUCUGAGCUCCAGAAUUGUGAAAAAAUUAACUUCCAAUUUAAACCACCUGUCUGUGGUACUUUCUUAUGGCAGCCCAGCAACUAAUAUAAUAAUUAAAAGAUUGUUUUGGUGCCUGUGUGUUCUUCCUGAUUGACUUGGGACCAACUUGAUGGAAAACUGCUCUGCUCUUAGUCUUAUCUGGUUCAUUUUCCUUCCAAAUAAAGGAAAACUGAUUGAGUCAAUUAUACUCUUGUAAAACCUCCCUGUUCCCCAUUUUCCCACUAGGCCUUCCUGCUAAAACUGGCAAGAAGAGAAUAGCACCUUGAAGAUCACAAUUCUUUGACUUCAUCCACUCCACUUUAGCUGAAAGUUCCCUUGGUCACACCUUAGUUUGUACAAAGGUUAAUACACAAACCAUUUGCUUCAGAAUCACUUAGAGAACUUUAAAGUAUAGAUUGCUCAGUGCCCUCCUCCCCAGUGAUUCUGAUUCAGUAGGUCUAAAGUGGAACCUAAUAAUAUGCAAUUUAAUGAAGCCCGUGUGUGAUUUUCUUGCAAGUUAAUUGUUGACCACACUUUGAGGAAUACUGCUCUAGAUAAGUGUAUCAGGGUGAGAAAUAGUUGAAAGACUUCUCACUUGAAGCCCACUGUUUUCCUUGUAAAGUAGAUGAGUUUGUCUGUUUUCCUGACCCUCAUCCCAUUGGCACACUUCUAUACAUUCUUCAGUGUCUAAACCAAAGUAACACCUUUUAUGAUAACUUUCCCCCAACCAGUUAAUCAAUCUUAUUUUGAGUCACUAGGGUAUCUCAUGCAUCGUUUUAUUAUGGUUCUUACCACAUACUGUAACAAUUGCUUCUGUCUCCUUAAAUCUUGUUGUUCCUUAGGGUUUUGUUGUUUGUCUUCGUCUUUCCUUACUCUUUUACAUAUUCCUGGGAAAUAUUAUCCAUGCCCAUGGCUUCAAUUUUCACCCAUAAAACUGAUGACUUUCAAAUCUGUACCUCAAGCCCACAUCUCUCUCCUAAUCUCCAGAUCCAUACUUCUAGUGGUCUGUUGGACAUCUCUACUUGUUUAAGGCACCCCAUGUCUCAAUGUCAAAAACUGAAGUUAUUGUCUUUCUGUAUCCCUGGCCAAACUUAUUCAUCCUCUUCUAUUGUUCUAUGUUGCAACACCAUAUACUCACUGAAGCCAGAAACUGAACAGUUAUUCUACAGUUCUUCCCUUCUCCUUCUCUCAUUCAAUACUGUCAGAUCUUCUUCUGAGAUAUUUCUCAAAUCUCUAUUCUUCAUUCCCUCACUGUUAUUGCAUUGAACAAAAACUAGUUUAUUAUAGUACCUAUAUGGUAGUUAGUAGUAGAGCCAAGGCUAAAUAAAGAUGACUUGCUAAAGGCAGUCAUACAUAUUAAUUCUUCAAAAAUCUUCCAUGUUUAUUCCAUUGCUAAAGAUGUUGAAAGGAUAAUUAGAGAAAUAGAUAGUAGUUAUGUUAGCCAGAUCAUCUUUCACAGCACAAAGUAAAUAUAUAAUGUCUAAUAAUAUAUAUGUAUAAUAUAUAAUGUCUGAGAUCAAUAAAUCAAGAAAUGGCAGAGCAACAUGUUUAAAAUACCACCAAGAUACAACCAGCUAAAUCCAGAAUGUGGAAAUUUCUUGGAACAAGUGACCUGGAUUACUAUUAUUAAGUUUAUUUUUAGUUUAUUGUGAGAGAGAACAAGCAGAGAAGAGGUAGAGAGAGAGGGAGACAGAAUCCCAAGCAGGCGCUACGCUGUCAGCACAGAUCCCAAUAUGGGGCUUGAACUCAUGAACUAUGAGAUCAUGACCUGAGCAAAAAUCAAGGGUCAGACACUUAAGUGAGCCACCCAGGUGCCCCAAGGAUUAUUAUUUUUUAA